UACGUAGGGUGCGAGCGUUGUCCGGAAUUAUUGGGCGUAAAGAGCUCGUAGGCGGUCUGUCGCGUCGGAUGUGAAAAUCCAGGGCUCAACCCUGGACCUGCAUUCGAUACGGGCAGACUAGAGUUCGGCAGGGGAGACUGGAAUUCCUGGUGUAGCGGUGAAAUGCGCAGAUAUCAGGAGGAACACCGAUGGCGAAGGCAGCUCGCUGGGACGGUACUGACGCUGAGGCGCGAAAGCGUGGGGAGCGAACAGG
rnacentral:rRNA from 1 species